rnacentral:lncRNA from 1 species
GCUUUGCAAGAAAACACCGGCUUUGCUUUUAUGUUUUGUCGGGGACAGGCGGGAACUUAACCAAUUUACCUUCAUGGGCUUUCCUGGCGCUAUCGUUACCUAACAUGCAAGUUUCUUCAGUCUGCUUCUUACGUCGAGACAAUGCAGGGCAUGGAAAGAACAAGACCCUAAUCAUAUGGCAUGACUGAAAGGAUGAAAGCUUGGAACAAGGGCCUAUGAUAAUUUCUAAUCACCACAGAAGAAAGUUUUACAGUUUCAUAGAACCAUUUCAUUAGCGAGUAGGCCAAUAGAAGGAAUUGGGCUUGCCUCUUAAAAAGCUAGUUUUACUAAAUGAAACCUUAUUUUUUUUAAUUGCUAAUAUAUUUAUUUAUUUGAAGUGAAGUA